GGCAGUGUGUGAUAGUUUUCAAUGUGUGACUGUCACACAAGGGGGUGUGUGUGUGUGUGUGUGUGUGUGUGUGUGUGAAAGAGAGAGAGAGGAGGGAGAGAGAAAGAAGAAAUAAUUCCAAGUAUGGGCAAACACAGCUCAUUGGAUUCUCAGAACUUGUUAGAGCUGGAGUCUACAAUGUAGAGGAAGAAAUGGUCUAGUAUGAAGUGAAGCUGGAGAAAGGCAGUGGAAAAUCUCCACCGAAGUGCAAAUCGCAGCCACCAAAACCAGACCUACUGAAUCAAAAUAUAGAGGUAGGUCCUGGGGAUCUACAUUUGUAACAAGUUUCCUAUGUGCUUCUUACACUCACUCAAGUUGAGAUGCCAUCCACGGCAGAUGGUGGGGAAACUCUGAGGGCGUUUCCUCUUCCUUCCGUUCUUAAUCAUUAUUCUUACCAUUGAUUAGCCCCACCCAGUGGACUGAGGGGCUUAGAUCAUGGCUCAGUCUCACUUAGCCAUGACAGUGAUGUGGGCAAGAGGGGAGGACAUACCACCAUCUAUGAAAGGUAAUAGCCACCGCUAUUGACACAUCUGGCCAUUUGCCUGACUAUUCCUUGUGCUCCAGACCAAUAUAUGCAGUUCUUGGAUUGGACUGAUUGAGAAGGAAGGGGAUCCUGAAUGUUACAAUAGCCAUAAGUAAGAAGACAGUGAUAAAGCUGGGGACAUUAAGCCUCUAAGUUUUGAAGACAGAUGGAUCCUGGAGAAUGACAGUGGAUAAUCAUAAACUUGAGCAAGUGAUGACUCUAACUGCAGCUGUUGUACUAGAUAUGGUUUUAUUGCUUGAGCAAGCUCUUUAGGCCUUAAUGAUUGACAUGAUCUUGGAAAACAGGUAUGUAGCAAAACUCUCCUAGAAACCUGAAAGAUGUGGCAAGAAGAAAACAUGGAGCCUUUUCUGAACAAGCCUAUGAGAGAAGAAGAAUCACUUCAAUUUAUUAAGUGUGGAUUCUGGGGCUAAAGAACUUACCUACAACCACACAGCCAGCAAAUUACUGACCCAGCAUAUUCUGAACCCAGGUCUUUAUUCUUUCCAAAACUUCACAGCACCUUCCUCAGAGCAUCUCUACAUGAAAAUCUGUAUAAAGAAGUGAUCUGUGGUGUCGCCAUUUGUAUCAAAAUGGUAUCACAAACUUAUUUAAAAGGCUUCAUCUAAAAGUCUUCAGAGUUUUGGCCAGGGAAGAGCUCUAAUAUCACACAUUAAUAACCUUACCUUUGUAACAUGUAAAUUGUUUUUUGUUUUAACAUCUCAGUUUCAUUAAACUGAGACCAGAAAGAGCCAUCAUCUUUUUACCAAUUUGUAAUCAUUUUAUUGUGUUAUGGACCUGCAGCAAUGCUGACUAUAUUUACAAAUCUGUGAGUGAAAUUUUAAAACCAUUUUCCUCUUCUAAUCUCUCCCAUCCUGCCUUCUUAGAAGCACACAAAGCAUCUCAACCACUCCCAAAUUCCCUGUUGGAAUACCCUUAAUGAUUCUGAAAUAUUUUGUUAUUCCCCAAACACCUCCCUAAGACGAAUCACUGGACUCCAGGCUCUUCACAUUGCCAAGUUGAAUCGAGUUCAAAUGUUCUAUCUAACCAAACUCUAACUUACAACAAAGCCACAUAUAGUAGAUGAUGUGUAAGAUAUUCCGAAAAUACCAAGGCAACAGGGAAAAAAAAUCUGUGUCAUCAAGAGGUCCUCCCAGAACUUCUUGUAAUCUAGAAUAAUCAAUUUUGUCAAGCUCCUGUAACCUAAUCAUAGCACACAUGUGUAUAUAUGUAUAACUAAUAACAUAAAUCAACUUUCAUUUUAAUAAUGUAUAGCUUAAGUUUUCUCACAUCCAAAACAAUUAGUGUUGCCAAAUUUAAGAUUAUUUCUCUACUUUAGACAUCAGAACAUGCACAAGGACUUGAGGAAUAAACAAAUCCAAGAAAACAAUCUUAGCCUGAUAAAGUAAAAAUUUUGAAUAAAUUCAUAAAUCAUUUAAAACACAAUCUUGUUAAAUUAGCUAUUUCAUAGUAUGUUAUGAAUGUAAAAGCAGAACACAGAAAAGGCAUUUUCCAAAAAGAUAUAGGACUUAGUAGGAUUUCCUUUUAUGUUAAAAAAUGGCCCAUGGAAGAGCAGUUUUCAGAAUGACCAGGGCAUAGUCAGACACCUCUUUCAUUGGAAGCUUCACCAAAGGGCACACUUCUCCUGAACUCAGAGUUUUGAGUCCAGACCCAGCUCUUGCCAAAGUUCACUGGGAGUUUUGCUAAGCUUCAAGAUGAUCCCACCUGAAAGCUCUUUGGAGACAAAGUUAAGGUAAGUUCCCCUUAAUAUUUCCAGAACCAUAUGAACAUAUAAGCAAACUGUGUAAGGCUACGUAGAAAUGAUUGAAUUUUAAUUUUUUCAAACUACAAACACUUUAAAGACAAGGAUUCUCCUCUAUACUUAUUUUGUAGUACUAGCACCAAGAAUAAUGCAUAGUACAUAGUUGAUACUUAAUAAAUUCAAUACUUGUAUGAAUAAACUGAAAAAUUCUCACAAGACCAUUGGGGGCAGUUCUACUAAUCUCCCUGUAGCCCUGCAAUUUUCAAAGGCUUCAUCACGCAAUUCCCCUCACAACUUUUUGGUUCACUAAUCAUAAAGCCACACGGACAGAAAGGAAAGAAAUCCCAGAGACCAAAAAGCCGUUUGUUUUGUCCAUCUGGUCACAUAUUUAUAGCGUUUCAGAGCUAAAAGUGGUAUUAGAAGUUGCCUUUGAACAGUCCCAUUUUACAUGUGAGAAAACUAAAGUCUAAGCUCUUGGGUGAAGUGACUGAGCCUUGAUCACCCAGCUGACAAGCACCAAAGCACUUCCCGAUAUUAUUUCCUCCAUAUUCCUCUGCAGUUAGCCCCCACCAACUCCACCAGAAAGUAUUUGUAGACUUAGGUAUUUCCUUUAAAAGCCUCAGAUGACUUUACUUGGGGUGUGGUGGAAGGGACCACAAUUUUAUUAUAAUUUACCAAUAGCCAGGAGUUUUGUUCCACUAAAACAUAUGUAUUGACUGAUCUGCUGAAUCUUGCUUUGGGGGGAAGGUGUUUUUUUUUGAGCCCAUCUGAAAAUGUUAAAUGUUUCAUUACUCUUAGAUUAUUAAAUGAAUAACUCCAGGGAAAAAAUGUAUCAUUGUUUCUUAUGAGUAUUAAGACAAAGAGGCAAAACUUUCCAUUUGACCACAAGAGGGCAGCUACAACAUUUCCUGCUAGGUCUUUGGGGUUCUGAACUACGAUCAACUGGGCAUUUGGGGACUCAGCUUGCCAUAGACUCCCUAAUAAUACCUUUCAACUGAAUUCCCAAUAUGUCACAAAACAUUCUCUCAUGGUGUUUCCUGGGACGGUUUUUGUUUUGUUUUUAAAGAAAUUAUUUUCCAACUUCUUUCCAGAUCUACAGAGUCCUCUGCUUUAGAACUCUGUGCCAAAGUUACCAUCUACAAAGAUCUUUGGAGACCAAUAAAUUGUUAGGCUAAUUAGAAAACCCACAGAAAAUGUUUUAUUUUAAUUAAGUUUGACCCCAGAUAAAAAUAAAAACAGUAAUGAUUAUCUGAUUCCACCACACUUAAUAAAGCUUGCUCUAAGUGCUUCACGGGAUUUGCCAAAUAUUUGCCUCAUCUCAGCCUUCAUUCGUCAUUCCCAUUUUCAUGAUAUCCUAAAAUCUUUCAAGUCAAAAUUUAUUGUGGAAUUUUAUCACUGAGCUAAACGGUGGGAGGUCUGCAAAUAAAAAAGCAGAGAUUAGUAAUAGCUACAUUCCAUAUUCUUAUAGUUGCACAAAAACAUAAAUUCAAACUUAGUUCAUCUGUUAGGUGCAUAAAGAGUGGGGAGUUAAUUUGAAAAGUAAGUGCUAGAUUUUAUAUGUAUAUAUGUGCAUGCAUCUGUGUGUAGGUGUGGCUGUGUGUAUAUACCCAUUAAUUUUUUUUGUUUUUUCACUAGUAAUUAUAUAUAAGUAGUUUGGAAAUUUACUAUUGAUGUUUGUAGAUUUUGAAGAUGUACAUAGCGAUGUAUUUCCUUCACAUUUACCGUGAAGCCUUUCCCUUAACCAUCUUAUUUAAAAUUGCAACCCCUGUCCCCCCAAUCCCCACAUAUCCUGUCCUCAUUCCCUGUUGUAUUUUUUCUCUUAUCAACAUUUGACAUACUUUAUAUUUUACUUGGUUUUUGUUAGUCUCCUUCACAAAUAACCCCUCCCCAACUAGAAUAAAAGCCCUAUGACGAAGACAGAAUUUUUUCUAUUUUGUUUAUUGCCAUGUCUUCAAAUCUUACAAUAGUGCCUGACACAUCAGAGGAGCUCAAUAAUGCAGCAACAUGGUAAAUUCACAAAAAUUGAAGCAUUUUUACUAGAAACUGAUAUUUUAAAAUCUCUAGCAUUGCUAAUUUACUUCAGUACAUUUAAGGAGACCUCCUAAAAAGAGAUAAUAGCCCACUAUCAGAACUGAAGCAUAUUUCCUAAAGCAAGUAUCUGAAACAAUACGUGGGCUCAUGAUUAUGGCUGAGUGUAUACUCUUGAAUGCUUAGACUCAGCAGGUCCUGUUUCCCAGAAGUCAAUCAGACCUGGACUGAAUUCUCAGCAAAAGUGGCCUCCAAAAGUUGUCACAGCAUCACACAAGCAAAGCAGUGGGAUAAAGGAAAGAGUAGUGACCUAUCAAUAAGGAGCCCAUGGUUCUAGUUCUGCCUCUGCCACUAGCUAACUAGGAGUUAAACCAUCCAUCUAAAUUGUUAGUGCUUUGAUGUCCUCUAAAAAAUAAUGGAUAUAACACCCUGUUUAUAUCAAAGAACUUUGGAAUCCAGUGAAAUGUGAAAGUAUUUUGGUAAGUAUGGACUAUUUUUCAAGUAGAAGAUGUUAUUAAAAUCAAUGUUGCCUGUACUGUGCUAUGUAAUGCCACCAUUUGGUGUGGCCAGUCAACAAUUUAAUGGUUUAAUGAACAAUUCUAGGCUGGAUCCAGUUCUAUCAGUCAAGUGAUGGUUUGUCAGGCCCUUCUUGGUACUCUAACCCCUAGGCCUUCUUCUUGCCGCUGUUGGGUUUAUUUGACCCCAGAAGCUCUGCCCCAUCCUGCCUCUAGGAUGAAUCCUAAGUGGAAACAAAAGACACUAAGGGAGCUCUAUCGCCGUAACGAGGAAUUCACAUCAUGUCACCGUACUUAGUUAGUCCAGCCCUGAUCAUAUGCCUCAAUGCUGGUAACUGGGCAUCUUCUUUCUUCUCCUUCUGAUAAUCAGAUCAAGAAUUCGCCUCCUCUUGAAAGCAUUUUCACAGUAGGUAUAAAUAUUUGCUAAAUUAAUGACAAAAAGACUUUACACCAGUGUCCCUCUUGGUUUAGAGCUCUGCCAGGUCCUUGUCAGUACGUCCUUUAAUCCCCUACCUCUUCACUCCUGGCAGCCUUCCCUGAUGCUGGCUGACCAUCAGUAGCCUACACCUGAGAGCAUCAGAAGUACAAGAUAUCUUCCUCGAUUCCUACUGCCACAUUCAUCCACCUUUAGGACUUCUCACUUAUUCCAUUAGACUCUGUAAAGCCAGCUGCUUUUCUGAUCCAUGCUUGCUUGUCAUACCCAGUGGAUACCACCUUCUAUUUGCCAACUGUUCUCUCUCAGGGUCUAAAACAGGUCUAUAUCCUCAGGGCCUGCCUCACUUGGUUCCUGUUCCAGCUCGUGGCUUAGCCAUACCACAGGACCCUCACUGGGUUAACUGGAAAGAUGCUGUUUAGUCUUGGCUACCAUGGCAGAACCCUGACAGCACACAAAGCAGUGCAAGUAAUAUUCAACUUCAAAAAAUGUUAUCUUUCAAAAAUAUGCUUGCAAAUAGAUUCUCUAGCACUUGGGAAUGCAUGUCUCUACACCAACAACUCAUACACUUCAGUAGUCAUUCCUUCAAACACAUUCACUGAGUAUCUUCUUACUUUGCACAGUUCUUGGCACAGGAGAAGAGAAAGUGAGACACAACCUUGUUCCUCCAGAAGUUCACAGAAGAACAAAGGAGACAGUGAUAGAAAUGAUACAUAUGCAAGGCAGCAUUUGGAAAAAUAGAGGACUAUCCGCAGUACGGUGAGAACAAGAAAGAAGAGGUGAGCCCUCUGCCUGGGCGGAUCAGGAAGGUUCCACAAAGAGACAUUCCACUGAGGCCUAAAGAAUGAGGAAGCAUGCACCAGGCAGAUGAGUGGAGAAGGGUGUUCCUGGUAUGUGGUUGUCAGGUUGCCAGACCAACACCCAAGUGUCAAUUUAACCCCAACUGUAGCUCCGCCAGUGCUGCAGGCUUAUGUCAGAAACAGAAAUGGGAUAGGUUUUUGUAGGCCAGCCUGGGAAUACUUGUUUCUGUUGGGAGAUUAGCUCUAAAACCCUCAAUAAAAGAGAGUUGGCCCUGGGCUUAUGCCAACACAUAUGUACCCACUGCCACUACCACCACUCAUCACCUUGGGCAAACAAGAAAAGCAGUUCAGUGUCAGGAGGAACAAUUCUUGCACUUUCACUUUCUUUCACUAACUGAUCUUGUGAAUGCAAGGUCAUGAGUAAGGCCUUUUGGGGACUGCACAUACAAGACAGGUCCACACUCCAAGGAGCUUAACAACAGGCUAUGCUAGGCCAGGUGCAGUGGCUCACACUUGUAAUCCCAGCACUUUGGGAGGCCGAGGCGGGUGGAUCACGAGGUCAGGAGUUUGAGAGCAGCUCGGCCAACAUAGUGAAACCCCAUCUCUACUAAAAAUCCAAAAAUUAGCCAGAUGUGGUGGCACACACCUGUAGGCCCAGCUACUCAGGAGGCUGAGGUGGGAGAACCACUUGAACCCAGGAGGCAGAGGUUGCAGAGAGCUGAGAUCAUGCCAUUGCACUCCAGCUUGGGUGUCAGAGUGAGACUCUUUUUAAAACAAACAAACAAACAAACAAAACAGGCAACAGGCUAUGCAGGCAAGACCCGUGCAUAUAAAAUAACUGAGAGUCCAAGGCAGUAGCUGCCAAAAUAAUGACACAUUCUAUAAGCACUACUGUCCUAGCCAUCACUGCUUUCUGGAGAGAAUAAUUCAAUUUAGUUGAAAAAGUGUUUUACAUUAAAUGCCCACUAAAAGUCUGUUGAUUAUGUAAGACUGCAUUCUGAAUUUCACAAGGCAGGAUCCACCAAGUUCCAUAAAUGUAAAUAAGUUUUCCUCCCAAAAGUAACAGGUUAAGUCAACUCUGGAAAGACUAUGGGGAGUUUAAUUAAUAGGAAUUCUGGUUUACUCAAUACAAGAAACACAUCAAACUGAAUAGGUAUGAAAAAGCAUUUCCCACCAGUUGAAGCUGUCUGAAUUAAAAUGAACCGCCUUGGGAGGUAAUAAGUUUCCCGUCAAGCUAGAUAAUUACUUGGCAGUGAUUUGGUAGGGGUGAUGCAAGCAUUCAAUGACCAGUAGGCUCCCUUCCAGUCCUGUGAUUGUGUGAAUUUCUGCAGCUCCCCCUUGAUAACACAAUAAAACCUGGGAACCCACACUGCAAGGUUUUCAAUGUUGAAGAUUAGCCAUGGGUUAGGCUUAUUCAGGGUACCAGAGCCUAUUCUGAAUGGUGGUGAGGAAACAGAGAAUGGGAAGGUCGAACUUCUACCAAGAACCUGACCAAACUCCCAGGGUGCUAGUCAGUAUCUGGGGAGAGCUUCAGAAUGCCAAAACUCAUUAGUGCUCAAAAAAGGUCAUAGUUAUUAGACAAGGGCACUCCAUUAUGAAGUCCUAACUAAAGAACUAAAAAAAAAAGCCCCUUGAAGACAAGAUGUGUAGGAUUCUAGAGUAUUUUGAAAGGCUCUUCCAAUGCUGACCCCUGAGGGUCCCUCAUGAAUGUUAGCACAUCCAGAUUCUUGGGAAACUCCAAGCAAAGCUGUUGUCAAAGAUGUGCCCAAGAAGAGUGCCUCCAAAAGUAAACAAGCAGGAGAUAGACAAGACAGUUAUACAGGUCUCCUGAGUAAAGUAUACAGGACUGAGAUGGUGAAUGCAGAAGAGGAGUAACAGCCUGAGGGGACCCGGACAACCAAGAAACUGGUUGUUUAAAAUCCUGGCAUCUUGUAAAUUUGUUUGAGUUCAUUGUUGAUUCUGGAUAUUAGCCCUUUGUCAGAUGAGUAGAUGGCAAAAAUU
rnacentral:lncRNA from 1 species